UACGAAGGGGGCGAGCGUUGUUCGGAAUUACUGGGCGUAAAGCGCGCGUAGGCGGGCUGUUAAGUGAGAGGUGAAAGGCUGGGGCUCAACCCCAUGCAGUGCCUCUCAUACUGGCGGUCUUGAGUGCGGCAGGGAGAAGUGGAAUGGCUGGUGUAGCGGUGAAAUGCGUAGAUAUCAGUCGGAACACCAGUGGCGAAGGCGGCGAUCUGGGUCGAUACUGACGCUGAGGUGCGAAAGCGUGGGGAGCAAACAGG
rnacentral:rRNA from 1 species